rnacentral:rRNA from 1 species
UACGUAGGGACCAAGCGUUGUGCGGAAUCACUGGGCGUAAAGCGCGUGUAGGCGGCUUCCUAAGUCUGAUGUGAAAGCCCGGGGCUCACCCCCGGAAGUGCAUUGGAAACUGGGAGGCUUGAGUACCGGAGAGGAGGGUGGAAUUCCUGGUGUAGCGGUGAAAUGCGUAGAUAUCAGGAGGAACACCGGUGGCGAAGGCGGCCCUCUGGACGGAUACUGACGCUGAGACGCGAAAGCGUGGGGAGCAAACAGG